UAUCCAUAUAUAUCUAAAAGUAACAAUAAAACAGCCUGUUGGCAUCUCUACAUUUUUGGCGCGCUUUCAAAGUCAGCUGAUUGUAACUGCUUGUUUAUGUUUUGAUACAUGCAAUUUAAAGCUUGCAAGUAAAUCGGCUGUGAAAUUUUAAGUGAACCAAAAACAUUAUUUUUAAAUCAUGGAAAUCAAUCGAUAAGGAAAAUAUGAGUUCUCCCAUGAAGAAUUGCUGCAAAUAUGGGAGUCAAAUUAUCGAAAAGAUGACAGUAUUUUGAACUACAUUUAUAAAAAAAUUAAUGGAGACACGUUAAAAGAAGACAAAAACAAAGAAAUAAAAAAGAAAGUUGUAAAUUUUUGUAGCUUUAUUAGAAAGCAUUUACCAAAUUGCAACAGACUGUUGAGUUCAAAGAAAAACAUUCUGAAUGGCUUGCGUCGAAAAUGACAUUGGUAGUUGAAAACAAAUGUUGGAAGAGUGCUUCUGCCAGCAAACUAGGACGUCCACAUUUAAAUUAUGAUGAAGGUAGUCAACGUUUGAAACGUAAAUUGGCCUUUGAACUAUCAACAGAGCGGGAGCACAACAUCCAACUUCUUGUUCGUGCUGCUGCAGUUUCAGCAAACAAAUCAAAUAAAAGCGACAUGACGUAUGUUUUAAAGGAAUGCUCAUCAUCAUCUUCAAGAACAAGUGAAAUAAUAAAAAAACUUCGCUUCAAUGAACCACUUCAACUCAGAGAGUUAAGAGUUUGACACCUCUCGAAUACAACCUUAAUGGUGGAUACAUUACUGUAAGCUAUGAUCUGCAUAUGACGCUAAUAGAUGGUAAGGUGUUAAAUGUAUUAACUGGUACAAAUUCUAAUCAGUGUUGCCCAGUAUGUGGUGCAAAACCAAAAGACUUUUUAGCAACGAAGGAUUUGAAAUCCAGCGUUUUCAAGAAAAAAAACUGGAGCACUUCAAUAUGGUGUAAGUCCUUUUCAUGGGUGGAUUAGAUUCCUGGAAUUUGUAUUAAAAAUCUCAUAUAGAAUUGACAUAAAAAAGUUGCAGGUUAGGGAUGCAAUAGAUAAACUAAGUAUGAGAACUAGAAAACAGAAAAUUCAAAAACAAUUGUGGGAAGAAAUGGGGCUACAUGUUGAUAAACCAAAACAGAAUGGCUGUGGAAGCACACAUGAUGGAAAUACGGCGAGGAAAGCAUUUACAAAUACUGAGACCUUAGCAUCAAUUCUGGAGUUUGACAUUGAAAUUUUGAAGAAUUUAUAUUUUAUAUUAAUUUCAAUUUCAUGCGAAUCCUAGAUCAAUGCGGAAAAAUUCGAAAUUUUUUAUAGUAAAACUGCUUUACUAUAUAUGGAAUAGUACUCUUGGUUUCCUAUGUCAGCAACCGUCCACAAAAUAUUAGUCCAUGGUUCAGAGAUAAUAAGAGCUUCAGUAGUUCCUGUUGAAGCACAAAAAGUAGCAGAGCAUAUAAUUUGUCCGAUGUUUUUCAUAGAUCUAUGCAUUCCUCAGAUCCUCUUAUAUCAAGUUUGCACAUCAACAAAAGAGAAAAUAAACAAAUUAAAAAAAUGCUCCCGCAAGAAGUGGUGGCGCUUUUGGAAGCUCCGGAAAUUGCAAUUACACCAGAAGCACAACUGAUGAAGAUGAAGAUAGACUUUCUGAUGAUGACGAAAUGGCAGAUUUGGAUAUAUUUAAUGAUUAUUCAAUUGAUUUAGAUGUAAAUGAAGAUAUGGAAUAAAGUUAAAGCAAAAUCAAUCAAUUAUUAAUGUAUUUUUUUGAAAUUAAGCUUUGAUUCCAUAAGGGAGCUGCCUCUUAUGAGGGUAGGGGGUGUGUCAUCGGGUUUAUUUUUUAUUUUUCAUAUUUAUAUGCGUUGUUUAGUAUCUGUACCGAAUUUCAAGGCACUGAGUAAGUUUUUAGAGUUUAUGCCAAAAAAAAACGCAUUCUGUCCCAUUCUGCAAUGUAACAAUAAUGAAAAAUAUAACAAUGGAAGAAAUCCAUUUUGAUCAAAUUGAAAAUAUAAAACAAAUAUCAGAAUUAAAAUAUCAGGCUAAUAAAUCAAGAGCCAUAAAUUACAGUUUAAUAGCUUUAAUACUGUCAGUAUCAACUAUUUUAAUAAUUUGUUUGCGUAUAUAAUGAAAGAAUUAAUUAUUACUACUCUUUGAAUCGGAACGAUUCAUUUAACAAAGGGGGAGUUAAGAAUUGUGUGCAUAAACAUUCCCACCGAAACUGCUGACGGCUAGGGAUGCAAACAUCGUAAAAUGAUGUAUCGAUGUUUCUUCAAAACCCAUCGAAAUCAAAAACAUCGGCCAUUAAAACAUCGAUACAUCGAAACAUCGAUAUAUUUUUGAACUUUUUUAACUUAUUUGAAAUUUAGUGUGAAAAGCUAAGGGAUACAGAAGCAGAAGCAUAAAUAAAUGAAAUGUAGUACGCCUUAAGUUGAUACAUUUUAUUUCACUUAGCAUUAUGUCUGUUAAAGUUUUUUCUCAAUAAAUAACAGAAUUUCAAAACAACGACAUGGGAAGUUUUUUCACUGUCGUUUCUUUUCUAUUUUACUUCUGCGUGAUAGUUGCCCUGGGUUUAGAAAACAGUCGUUUACUCCGCACUGGAGAAGCUACAAUGUGUAAAUAUUAUUUAAUAAUCCUAUUUAUACAACUCCGGAAACACAGUAUUCAUGUCAACCCAAACUCUAUUGGCUUCUGAUUGGUAGAGGUAACAGCCGAGAUACACUCUCUCUUCAACCUUCCGUCCCUGUAAUUGUAGAUAAAUUUGACAGCUUACAUUUCACCUUUUGGUGGACCAAAUGUUUAUUCUGGUUCCAAACAUCCAACGAGUAUUCUGUUUCACACUCAUCCGAAGAUUCCGUUGUACCAGCGCGAUUAAUUUUCUAUGAAACAAAAAAAUGUAUUUCCUUUAGCCCUAGCAUCUUUAAAAUGCAGUAAUUUGAUUCUCUGAUCAAACGCAAUAGUCUACGUCAGAAGUAGGUCCAAGCGCACAUUCCCUUAACGAAUUCUCCGUAUUUUACAAAAAUCUAAUUCCAAUGUAAUAAAGCGUAUCCAAAUUGAGGGUUUCGGGUUAAUUCCCGAAAAAGUGUGAAGGUGUGAACUAAAAUUUUUAUAUAUAACAUCGACAUAAAACAUCGUUGAAAGUGACAUCGAUGCAUCGAUGUUUUUAGAUUCGAGACAUCGAUGGCGAAACAUCGAUGUUUCAAAAACAUCGAUACAUCGUUUGCAUCCCUACUGACGGCAUGUACACCUGCAUAAACAGACAAGCGGUUCGCGGAACAGCUGUGACAGAGAUGCAAGCAUUCAACAUAGAAUUAAGAUAUGUUAUAUGUUAUGUUAUAUUUAAGAUUAUCAAUAAAGAUCAGUAUCAUUUUGGUAUUCAACAAGCAACAUUGCAUUCAUUAUUUAAUUUGACGUAAACUUCUUAUCAAAAAUACCGAUCGCACUUAUACAACGCGAGAUACAAAUUACUAAAGUCAUCUAGUGAAAAAAUAAUGGAUUUCCUUUUACUAGACCUAGUAUAUCCGAAUACCCUAAAAGAAAAAAGAAAUUACAAACAUACUGCUAACGUACCAACUUGUUUGGAGGACACGCGAAUAAGCAUCUUUUUUUUCUAUCUAUUUUAUUUUUAUACUCUCGCAACAAAAGUUGCUAAAGAGAGUAUUAUAGUUUUGUUUACCUAACGGUUGUUUGUAAGUCAUAAAACUAAACGAGUUAGAUAUAGGGUUAUAUAUAUCAAAAUGAUCAGGGUGACGAGACGAGUCAAAAUCCGAAUGUCUGUCUGUCCGUCCGUCCGUCAGUCUGUCCGUGCAACGGAUAACUUGAGUAAAAAUUGAGAUAUCUUAACGAAACUUGGAACACGUAUUCCUUGGCACCCUGAGGAGGUUGCUUUCGAAAAUAGGCAAGAUCGGACCACUGCCACGCCCACAAAAUGGCGAAAACCAAAAACUUAUAAAGUGUCAUAACUAAGCCAUAAAUACAGUUAUGAAAAUAAAAUUUGGAACAUAGGAUCGUAUUAGGGAGGGACACAUUUGGAUGUAAUUUUUUUGGAAAAGUGGGCGUGACCCCGCCCUCAAAUAGGUUUUUUGUAUAUAACUCGCAAACCAAUUAAGCUAUAUAAACCAAACUUUCUGCAGUCGUGUCUUUCAGCCGUUUCCUUAUACAGUCUAAAAAUGAAAGAAAUCGGAUAAUAACCACGCCCACCUCCCAUACAAAGGUUAGGUUGAAAAUGACUAAAAGUGGGUUAACUCACUAACGAGAAACGUCAGAAACACUAAAUUUUACAUAAGAAAUAGCAGAAGGAAGCUGCACUCAGAUUUUUUUACAAAAUGGAAAAUGGGCGUGUCAUCUCCCACUUAUGGGUCAAAAACCAUAUCUCAGGAACUACUCGACCGCUUUCAAUGAAAUUCGGUAUAUAAUACUUUCUUGACACCCUGAUGACACAUGUGAAAAAUGGAUGAAAUCGGUUCAUAACCACGACAACUUCCCAUAUAACUCAAUUUUGAAUUCCAUCUGAUUCCUUCACUUUAUAAUGUAUACAUAAGGAACCAAUGAAGAUGGCGGAAUAAAACUUAUAGUACAUAUCAUCUCUGGCUUCACUUGAGAAAAAAUUGUCCAAAACGGACUAUAACUUUUCAAGACCCCAGAUAUCGGACAUGUUGAACUCAGCGCCUAAGGGUAAAUUUUAACCGAAAAUAUUGGUAAAUCUCUUAGAUAAUUUAAUGUAAUUCAGAGGAAAUUGUUUUCUUCUAAUAGUGUGUCUCUGUUCCAAAAAUUAUUAAAAUCGGAUAAUAA